AGCACUCAAAGGGCACUCGAUCCAUCGACGCCGUUGAUCCUACCGUUCGACCUGCAAGUCAGACGAACUGCCUGCCUCCCACCGUGUUUUCUUUCGAGGAAGUGGUCCCGAGCACGAAGAUUUAUUUACUUGAACGAUACCUCCUGCCGGCUUUACGAUCGACUUGCAUGACACGUCUCUCGCGCUGCAACGCUGCCCCGAUCACUCGAGUGCUACCAUCUGACAUUUAUAACGGCGCGUCGCGUCGUCUUUGUAUAAAGUUCUGUUCUACGCGACUGAAAGGAUGGCUGGCUGAGUCUCGGAAUUGAUUCUAACUUUUAAAAUAGGCACACGUUAUAUAAUAAUCUACUAGUCAUCUUAACCGUCGACUACAGCACCGAACCUUUUGGAUCCGAACGAAUAUUUUGAUGACGUUUGCGCAACAAUCCACUCCGAACGAUCUGUCAUCGGACGUUGUGAUACUUACGUCAGCCUCACGACCGCAGAUUCAGUGAAAAGUGUAUAUUCACGGAGGAGGCGAAUGUUUCGUAAAUGCUUAACCUGGGGGAUCACCAACGUCGUUGUGCCCGAGGCACGUCCCAGGCGUGAGUUCAGUCGAAGAUAUCGAACGUGACCGAACCACAAGAAGAUAUUUUAAUUAUCGUACACACACUCUCCGUUGGUUUACAGCCUAAUUAUGGAAUCCACCCACACGCGACGGUAUGACUGCGCCGUUUUGACAUUUGUGGCUCACACUUAAAAAGAGGUUCAAUCCGAUGAAA